GCCACAUGAUGUGUUCAUGUUAAAAUGGAGCAUCUAAGUGCCAAGACAACUCAAUCUAUCACCCAUGACUAAUGGUU
ensembl:snoRNA SNORD83 Small nucleolar RNA SNORD83